UUUCGGCCAGCCCUCCCUCUUCUUUUCCUUCCUCCACAAGCCUUGCCUCCCAACUACCCCAAUCAAUAAAUGGGCAGCCACCCAUCCUAGCCAAUCAAAAAGGAGGCAGCCACCACUCUCUCCCUCUAUAAAAGCACUUGGCCGGCCACCCCUUCCUCUUUUUCUUCUCAUUUUUCUCCACUCUCCACUCAUUCCCCUGCCUUACCCACUCCCUCCCCUCCUUCUCCCACGAAAUAUUGCUCCCCCUAGCUUCCAUGGCCGGCCAUGGCCAUGGAAAGCCACCAAGAUGAAGCCCUCCUCCUCCCUCAAGCUCAUCCUCACCAUGAGAGCAUCCCUCUCCUUCUUCUCCCCAACCCUAGAUGGUUUUAUUCCCUCUUCUUCUUCCUCCAUUGCUAAGAUUGGAUCUUGAUGCAGGUGCAUGUUGGUCCAAGCAUGAAGAAGCUUGAGCAAUCCUCAGAUCUGAAGUUCUUGAGCAAAAUCCAAAUCGAGUGAUUCAAAGUUCCACAGAUAUAUAUUGAAAAGAUCUACAACUUGGCAUUGGUCUCAUCCUCAAAUUCGUUACGGAUUAUCCCUGGUAAAUAAAGUUCUGGAAACAUGCAGAUUCACUGUUUGUUAGAUUUGUUCCGUUUUACAAAACGUUUUUGAGCAAACUCAACGGUGGGUGAAAGCCCUCUUCAGUACCUUCAUUUUGGCGUUGGUUCCACUUCGAUUGACCUCCUGAAACUGAAAUGGUUCACAGAUCAAAAUCUGGUCAGAUCUGACUUUGUCGAAUUAAACCAGGAGCUUGGGAACGAAUUUUCGAAUGAAACAAAAUGGGGGAUACUUAGUUGUGCCAUGGUGAUACCGAGAGAGGCAAUUGCUAAGUUAUGAUACUCUCAUACCUUUACUAGAUGCGAACGAUUCCGGAGAAGAAGAAGAAGUGGUUCAGACAAGGAUUUUAUUUAUAUUGACGGGAUUCUUAUAUUGAUGAAGUUGAAGAAGUCCAGGGACAAAUAAGC